UAGGGAAUCUUCGGCAAUGGACGAAAGUCUGACCGAGCAACGCCGCGUGAGUGAAGAAGGUUUUCGGAUCGUAAAACUCUGUUGUUAGAGAAGAACAAGGACGUUAGUAACUGAACGUCCCCUGACGGUAUCUAACCAGAAAGCCACGGCUAACUACGUGCCAGCAGCCGCCGUAAUUCGUAGGUGGCAGGCGUUGUCCGGAUUUAUUGGGCGUAAAGCGAGCGCAGGCGGUUUCUUAAGUCUGAUGUGAAAGCCCCCGGCUCAACCGGGGAGGAUCAUUGGAAACAGGGAGACUUGAGUGCAGAAGAGGAGAGUGGAAUUCCAUGUGUAGCGGUGAAAUGCGUAGAUAUAUGGAGGAACACCAGUGGCGAAGGCGGCUCUCUGGUCUGUAACAGACGCUGAGGCUCGAAAGCGUGGGGAGCAAACAGG
rnacentral:rRNA from 1 species